rnacentral:rRNA from 1 species
GGGGCUUAUUGAGUGAGGGCCUCUGGGUCCACCUCCCACCCGUGUUUAUUGUACCUUGUUGCUUCGGCAGGCCCGCCUUACGGCCGCCGGGGGGCUUCUGCCCCCGGGCCCGCGCCUGCCGGAGACAAUCUUGAACGCUGUCUGAAGAAUGCAGUCUGAGCGAUUAAGCAAAAUUAGUUAAAACUUUCAACAACGGAUCUCUUGGUUCCGGCAUCGAUGAAGAACGCAGCGAAAUGCGAUAAUUAAUGUGAAUUGCAGAAUUCAGUGAAUCAUCGAGUCUUUGAACGCACAUUGCGCCCCCUGGUAUUCCGGGGGGCAUGCCUGUCCGAGCGUCAUUGCUGCCCUCAAGCACGGCUUGUUUGUUGGGUCUUGUUCCCCCGGGAACAGGCCCGAAAGGCAGUGGCGGCACCGUCCGAUCCUCGAGCGUAUGGGGCUUUGUCACCCGCUCUGUAGGCCCGGCCGGCGCUUGCCGACCCCAAUCAAUCUUUUUCAGGUUGACCUCGGAUCAGGUAGGGAUACCCGCUGAACUUAAGCAUAUCAAUAAGGCGGAGGAA